GCCAUGAUGGUCUAAUCGGUUAACGCGUCGCCCCGGUCAGGCGAAGGUUGCGGGUUCAAUCCCCGCUCCUGGCC
rfam:Ixodes scapularis strain Wikel colony gcontig_1108379406324, whole genome shotgun sequence.